AAGGGAUCAGUGUGUUCGCUGACGUUCUGUGUUCUGAGCAGCGCGUUCUGAGUUCCAGCAUCAGGAGCCUCCAUGACCAGCCUGACCUGAGCACCUACAGGCAGCACCAGCAUGGGUACUACAAGAGGGCAUACACACUACUCAGACUAUGAUGAAAUUAAUGGCCUGAUUCUUCACCCUUGUUGGUAUCCACCAUCUCAGCCAUGCAACUUUGCACUGCUCUACUACUCAGCAGCAGGUCAAGUGCUGACCCAGCACCCCUUUGCACCAGUCUUUCAAACCCUGACCACACUAACUAAUCAACCUGA